CUACGGGGCGCAGCAGUGGGGAAUAUUGCACAAUGGGGGGAACCCUGAUGCAGCAAUGCCGCGUGAAGGAUGAAGGUUUUCGGAUUGUAAACUUCUUUCGCUGGGGAAGAAAUAAAUGACGGUACCCAGAUAAGAAGCCCCGGCUAACUAUGUGCCAGCAGCCGCGGUAAUACAUAGGGGGCAAGCGUUAUCCGGAUUUACUGGGUGUAAAGGGUGCGUAGGCGGCAAUGUAAGUCAGGUGUGAAAACCCGAGGCUCAACUUCGGGACUGCACUUGAAACUACAUAGCUAGAGUACAGGAGAGGUAAGCGGAAUUCCUAGUGUAGCGGUGAAAUGCGUAGAUAUUAGGAAGAACACCAGAGGCGAAGGCGGCUUACUGGACUGAAACUGACGCUGAGGCACGAAAGCGUGGGGAGCGAACAGGAUUAGAUACCCGAGUAGUC
rnacentral:rRNA from 1 species